rnacentral:rRNA from 1 species
GACGAACGCUGGCGGCGUGCCUAAUACAUGCAAGUAGAACGCUGAAGGAGGAGCUUGCUUCUCCGGAUGAGUUGCGAACGGGUGAGUAACGCGUAGGUAACCUGCCUGGUAGCGGGGGAGAACUAUUGGAAACGAUAGCUAAUACCGCAUAAGAGUAGAUGUCGCAUGACAUUUGCUUAAAAGGUGCAACUGCACCACUACCAGAUGGACCUGCGUUGUAUUAGCUAGUUGGUGAGGUAACGGCUCACCAAGGCAACGAUACAUAGCCGACCUGAGAGGGGGCUCGGCCACACUGGGACUGAGACACGGCCCAGACUCCUACGGGAGGCAGCAGUAGGGAAUCUUCGGCCAUGGACGGAAGUCUGACCGAGCAACGCCGCGUGAGUGAAGAAGGUUUUCGGAUCGUAAAGCUCUGUUGUAAGAGAAGAACGAGUGUGAGAGUGGAAAGUUCACACUGUGACGGUAUCUUACCAGAAAGGGACGGCUAACUACGUG